rnacentral:rRNA from 1 species
UUGACCUCGAAUCAGGUAGGAAUACCCGCUGAACUUAAGCAUAUCAAUAAGCGGAGGAAAAGAAACCAACCGGGAUUACCUCAGUAACGGCGAGUGAAGCGGUAACAGCUCAAAUUUGAAAUCUGGCUCUUGCGGAGUCCGAGUUGUAAUUUGUAGAAGAUGCUUUGGGUUGUGGGUUCGGCCUAAGUUCCUUGGAACAGGACGUCAUAGAGGGUGAGAAUCCCGUAUGUGGCCGAGGCCCGCGCCUAUGUAAAGCUCUUUCAACGAGUCGAGUUGUUUGGGAAUGCAGCUCAAAAUGGGUGGUAAAUUUCAUCUAAAGCUAAAUAUGGGCCAGAGACCGAUAGCGCACAAGUAGAGUGAUCGAAAGAUGAAAAGCACUUUGGAAAGAGAGUUAAACAGUACGUGAAAUUGUUGAAAGGGAAGCGCUUGCAACCAGACUUGGGCGCUGCCGAUCACCUUGAGUUUUCUCGAGUGCACUCGACAGCGCACAGGCCAGCAUCGGUUCGGGUGGCUGGAUAAAGGCCGUAGGAAUGUGGCUCUCUUCGGGGAGUGUUAUAGCCUACGGUGCCAUGCAGCCCAGCCGGACCGAGGACCGCGCCUUCGGGCUAGGAUGCUGGCGUAAUGGUUGUAAGCGACCCGUCUUGAAACACGGACCAAGGAGUCUAACAUCUAUGCGAGUGUUUGGGUGGUAAACCCAUACGCGGAAUGAAAGUGAACGUAGGUGAGAACCCCUUUGGGGCGCAUCAUCGACCGAUCCUGAUGUCUUCGGAUGGAUUUGA